CCUAGAAUAGCUGCCGUCGGUGUUCCUCACGGAACUUAAUAGAGAAUCCGCUGCGGCUUAGCCGCGAAACGGAACUGCCCCCGCAACUGUAGGCGGUUAGCGAUGCUCAAUGAGCCACUGGACGUAUUGUCUGGGAAGGCGAGCUAGCCAUGACCCGUCAGUCAGGAGACCUGCCGACCAUGUUAAUUAAUC
rnacentral:ncRNA from 1 species